AACGCUAGCUACAGGCUUAACACAUGCAAGUCGAGGGGCAGCAUGAACUUAGCUUGCUAAGUUUGAUGGCGACCGGCGCACGGGUGAGUAACACGUAUCCAACCUGCCGAUGACUCGGGGAUAGCCUUUCGAAAGAAAGAUUAAUACCCGAUGGCAUAGUUCUUCCGCAUGGUAGAACUAUUAAAGAAUUUCGGUCAUCGAUGGGGAUGCGUUCCAUUAGGUUGUUGGCGGGGUAACGGCCCACCAAGCCUUCGAUGGAUAGGGGUUCUGAGAGGAAGGUCCCCCACAUUGGAACUGAGACACGGUCCAAACUCCUACGGGAGGCAGCAGUGAGGAAUAUUGGUCAAUGGACGAGAGUCUGAACCAGCCAAGUAGCGUGAAGGAUGACUGCCCUAUGGGUUGUAAACUUCUUUUAUACGGGAAUAAAGUGAGGCACGUGUGCCUUUUUGUAUGUACCGUAUGAAUAAGGAUCGGCUAACUCCGUGCCAGCAGCCGCGGUAAUACGGAGGAUCCGAGCGUUAUCCGGAUUUAUUGGGUUUAAAGGGAGCGUAGGCGGACGCUUAAGUCAGUUGUGAAAGUUUGCGACUCAACCGUAAAAUUGCAGUUGAUACUGGGUGUCUUGAGUACAGUAGAGGCAGGCGGAAUUCGUGGUGUAGCGGUGAAAUGCCUAGAUAUCACGAAGAACUCCGAUUG
rnacentral:rRNA from 1 species